AGUCUCAGCGGCGGCAGCAGGUCACCGGGCGGGCGCAGCAGGCGGCGGGCGGCGCUCAGCGCCAGCAUUCCUCAGGCGAUCGUGCAAGCAGAACAUGACACCCCUUUUAAAGAAGAGACUGAAGGUUUUCCUCACUGAUACUCGGCAGCUCUGAUGGUUGACAAAAGAACAAGCCAGCCUAGUGAGUGAGCUCUCCAUCAAUCUGCAGACCUGUGGAGAGGAACAGCAGUGUUGACAGAGGGUAGUUCUCACGGUCCAUCCCUAGUUACCCAAUCCUACCUACAAUGGGCAAAGACAUCUGCAUUUCCUGGAGUGACCUACAGAGUAUUUCCACAGAGCUCACUGUGGAUUCAUGGGAUGCUGCCCCUGCUCUUAGCCACAAGAGAAAUGACUUGCAGAGAAACAUCAGUGUGAAGUAAAACAGACCACAAGCCUUUUCAGAGACAUUGGAGUGACACCACUACAUUCUGCAAUAAUGCAAUGCCAAAGAUGUCCGUAUUAGCAUUCUGAAUGUGCCAACAUCAUCAACCAACCACCUUACCAGAAGAAUGCAGGGGAAAAUAUGAGAGUAAGGCUCCUCCAGCUAAGGCAACAUUUGCAAACUGUGCUAAAUGGCAAACUCAGCACUGACAGCUGCAGCCAUGAGCUCGCUGUACUUACACAACAGCACGCUGUGACUGUAAUUUGAAUCGUGUUUCUUCCUGGCUGGCAGACAUGCUUUAAGUGCAGAGGUUUAUGAGAUGUCUUGUUGUCGCCACGUUCGAUGGUAAGUGGGGUUGCAUUAACGCUGACCUGGACCGAAGCUGGCCAGUUUGUGUUCAUUUGUCUGUCUUCAUGGUGGUAGCACUUGAACUGUAAUUCCAAGUCAGACCUGUACAACAACCAAUAAAUCUUCCUUUAAACUU